AGCGAACGCUGGCGGCAUGCUUAACACAUGCAAGUCGCACGGGCAGGGGUAACUCUGUCAGUGGCGGACGGGUGAGUAACGCGUAGGUAUCUAUCCUUGGGUGGGGGACAACCGUGGGAAACUACGGCUAAUACCGCAUGACGACUGAGGUCCAAAGGCCGAAAGGUCGCCUGGGGAGGAGCCUGCGUCCGAUUAGCUUGUUGGUGGGGUAAUGGCCUACCAAGGCUCCGAUCGGUAGCUGGUCUGAGAGGAUGAUCAGCCACAUUGGGACUGAGACACGGCCCAAACUCCUACGGGAGGCAGCAGUGGGGAAUAUUGGACAAUGGGCGAAAGCCUGAUCCAGCAAUGCCGCGUGUGUGAAGAAGGUUUUCGGAUUGUAAAGCACUUUCGACGGGGACGAUGAUGACGGUACCCGUAGAAGAAGCCCCGGCUAACUUCGUGCCAGCAGCCGCGGUAAUACGAAGGGGGCUAGCGUUGCUCGGAAUGACUGGGCGUAAAGGGCGCGUAGGCGGUUUGUACAGUCAGACGUGAAAUUCCUGGGCUCAACCUGGGGGCUGCGUUUGAUACGUGCG
rnacentral:rRNA from 1 species